AUUUUUGAACAAAUUAUCUUAAGCAACACAUUGAGCAAAGAAGAAGGGAUCCAAUUAAUGAGAUAAUUAAAAAAAAUUAUGUGAUUAUUUUAUAUAUCAGUUUUUUUUUUUUCACUACUUCAGGCAUGGAUUCAGGUGCAUUUCUCUUGCUUCCAAGUGGCAGAAUACAAAUUGCGUGUCAGCUUGCAAGUUAUUCAAUAGCCAUGUGAGCCCAAACUAUAUGCGCAGAUCCCCAUGGAAUAAGAAAGUGUAAAAUAUAUGGAAAAAAAAAAGAGGCGGUUUGAAAAUAAAAUAAAAGAAGCUGGAAACAAGGGAACACACAUACGUGUGAGAGAAUGAGAGAAGCUGUAAACCGCCCGGAAACCCGACCCGUUUGACCCGAAAUCGACCUGGCCAUAUCUCUAAUUUCCGGCCACCUCACCGGCUGAGCAAGGUACCAAUAUGAAGCUUGAAUACAGGCCAUCAUAUUCCAGUCGUCAGCGUCGCCGAAAACCGACCGGAACGCCGCCGUUUGUAGCACGAUAAGCUGCGGUAAAACCCACCCCUUCUCGCCGUCGAUUCCGCCAAUUUUGGGUGACGCCACCACUUGGAUCUUGAUCCUCAGCUCAUCCUUAUCAUUUUCCGACCAGCCCCGCCACCUGAAACCGCCGUUUGGGCCGCGAACGACCGCCGGAAAGCUUGCGGCUUGGGAAGCUCGAUCCGCCGUUGUUGCCGCGCGUGGGAGGUCACCGCCGGCGUUAUUAGACUCAGUGUAAUUGAAACUAUCAGACCUGAGCUUCCCGGCCACCGUUGAUUGGCGAGGGCAAUUCGGUAAUCUCACAUUUUGAGGGCGAUUUUAUAAUUUCUGACCCUGUGGAUAUUUUACUUGUGAAAUUGAGGAUUGGCUGUAAUUAUGAUUUCGAGGGUAAUUCAGUGGUUUGUGGUUUCAGAGUGUUUUAAUUAUUUGCAGACUCGAGGGUAUUUUAAUAAUUUUAUCGACAUUGAAGUUGUAAAAUUAUGGAUUUAAUAAUUUUAUCGACACUGAAGUUGUAAAAUUAUGAAUAAAUGUUCGUUUUGAGUUUAUUGCAUAAGUUUGAUCCUAAUUUUGAUUUACGAAAAAUGAUUAUAUCAUUUCUUUGAUUUAAGAGGAUUUGCGAGAUGUGGAAGAUAAUCGAGUCUAAAUAUUGUCACUAUGAGUGGAAUAUAAAAAAUCUAUUUUCAUAGUUAAUUAUGAUAAUAAAGAAUGUUUACGAAAUAAGUAUUUUAA
rnacentral:lncRNA from 1 species